UACGUAGGGUGCGAGCGUUGUCCGGAUUUAUUGGGCGUAAAGAGCGUGUAGGCGGCUGGGUAGGUCCGUUGUGAAAACUCGAGGCUCAACCUCGAGACGCCGAUGGAAACCCUCCAGCUAGAGUCCGGAAGAGGAGAGUGGAAUUCCUGGUGUAGCGGUGAAAUGCGCAGAUAUCAGGAAGAACACCCGUGGCUAAGGCGGCUCUCUAGUACGGUACUGACGCUGAGACGCGAAAGCGUGGGGAGCGAACAGG
rnacentral:rRNA from 1 species